GACGAACGCUGGCGGCGUGCUUAACACAUGCAAGUCGAACGAUGAUGCCCAGCUUGCUGGGUGGAUUAGUGGCGAACGGGUGAGUAACACGUGAGUAACCUGCCCCUGACUCUGGGAUAAGCGUUGGAAACGACGUCUAAUACUGGAUAUGACUGCCGGCCGCAUGGUCUGGUGGUGGAAAGAUUUUUUGGUUGGGGAUGGACUCGCGGCCUAUCAGCUUGUUGGUGAGGUAAUGGCUCACCAAGGCGACGACGGGUAGCCGGCCUGAGAGGGUGACCGGCCGCACUGGGACUGAGACACGGCCCAGACUCCUACGGGAGGCAGCAGUGGGGAAUAUUGCACAAUGGGCGAAAGCCUGACGGAGCGACGCCGUGUGUGGGAUGACAUUUUUCGGAAUGUAAACCACUGUCAGAGGGGAAGAUAUUGACGGUACCCUCAGAGGAAGCCCCGGCUAACUACGUGCCAGCCGCCGCAGUAA
rnacentral:rRNA from 1 species